rnacentral:rRNA from 2 species
GGGGGAUAUUGCACAAUGGGGGAAACCCUGAUGCAGCGACGCCGCGUGGAGGAAGAAGGUUUUCGGAUUGUAAACUCCUGUCGUUAGGGACGAUAAUGACGGUACCUAACAAGAAAGCACCGGCUAACUACGUGCCAGCAGCCGCGGUAAAACGUAGGGUGCAAGCGUUGUCCGGAAUUACUGGGUGUAAAGGGAGCGCAGGCGGACCGGCAAGUUGGAAGUGAAAACUAUGGGCUCAACCCAUAAAUUGCUUUCAAAACUGCUGGCCUUGAGUAGUGCAGAGGUAGGUGGAAUUCCCGGUGUAGCGGUGGAAUGCGUAGAUAUCGGGAGGAACACCAGUGGCGAAGGCGACCUACUGGGCACCAACUGACGCUGAGGCUCGAAAGCAUGGGUAGCAAACAGGAUUAGAUACCCUGGUAGUCCAUGCCGUAAACGAUGAUUACUAGGUGUUGGAGGAUUGACCCCUUCAGUGCCGCAGUUAACACAAUAAGUAAUCCACCUGGGGAGUACGACCGCAAGGUUGAAACUCAAAGGAAUUGACGGGGGCCCGCACAAGCAGUGGAGUAUGUGGUUUAAUUCGAAGCAACGCGAAGAACCUUACCAGGUCUUGACAUCCGAUGCAUAGUGCAGAGAUGCAUGAAGUCCUUCGGGACAUCGAGACAGGUGGUGCAUGGUUGUCGUCAGCUCGUGUCGUGAGAUGUUGGGUUAAGUCCCGCAACGAGCGCAACCCUUAUUGCCAGUUACUACGAAAGAGGACUCUGGCGAGACUGCCGUUGACAAAACGGAGGAAGGUGGGGAUGACGUCAAAUCAUCAUGCCCUUUAUGACCUGGGCUACACACGUACUACAAUGGCGUUUAACAAAGAGAAGCAAGACCGCGAGGUGGAGCAAAACUCAAAAACAACGUCUCAGUUCAGAUUGCAGGCUGCAACUCGCCUGCAUGAAGUCGGAAUUGCUAGUAAUCGCGGAUCAGCAUGCCGCGGUGAAUACGUUCCCG